rnacentral:rRNA from 1 species
ACGAACGCUGGCGGCGUGCUUAACACAUGCAAGUCGAACGGAAAGGCCCUGCUUGCAGGGUACUCGAGUGGCGAACGGGUGAGUAACACGUGGGUGAUCUGCCCUGCACUUCGGGAUAAGCCUGGGAAACUGGGUCUAAUACCGGAUAGGAGCCAUUUUUAGUGUGAUGGUUGGAAAGUUUUUUCGGUGUAGGAUGAGCUCGCGGCCUAUCAGCUUGUUGGUGGGGUAAUGGCCUACCAAGGCGGCGACGGGUAGCCGGCCUGAGAGGGUGGACGGCCACAUUGGGACUGAGGUACGGCCCAGACUCCUACGGGAGGCAGCAGUGGGGAAUAUUGCACAAUGGGCGCAAGCCCGAUGCAGCGACGCCGCGUGGGGGAUGACGGCCUUCGGGUUGUAAACUCCUUUCGCUAGGGACGAAGCUUUUUGUGACGGUACCUAGAUAAGAAGCACCGGCUAACUACGUG